rnacentral:lncRNA from 1 species
UUCAUAAUGCAGAACUUCAGUCCUAUUCCAGAAGGCUCUCUUCUAGCAGAAUCUGCAGGGCAUUGAUUAUAUACCCGAUGAGCCAUAGAAUCAUCAAGACCCAGGCCAGCUCCACUCGGAGUUGCUCCAUACUCUGCAUGGUCCACUCUUCUAUCUCCUUCUGUUUCCCACUUAGGUAUUCGGAGCACCAUUCAGGCUGAUGCUCAUGCUGCUACUGAACUGCCCCAGACACUGGUGUCAUCUCCAUUACCUGAAGAGGACAAUGAAAUGUCUCCUUUAUCUUUAUCCUGCUUCUGUGUAGCAGAGUCUCAAAUGAAUACAGACUUCAGGGUCGUGGCUCUUUGAGAAUGUCACACAGCACUUUAUGCCCACAGCAUACAAUGCUUCCAGAAAGUCUAGGUCAAGGCAGCCGGACAGUACCAGGAGCCUCAGGCCCUGUCGCUGAAGCUGCCCCAUCGUGCCACACUUCACAACUUCCAAAGGUAGAGUUCUCUCUGAAAACUCACAAUCUUGCCAUCUGUCUCCAUUCUCAUAUCUCAAUCUAUUCAGCUUAUCAGUCUCCAUGUGCCACUUUCCCAUGAGGCAUUUCAACAUCCAUGUAAAUCAGAAGUGAUGCAUAAACUAGGUGUCAGGAGCAUAGGGGAGCACAAGGCAUUAUCUAUUUCUGUGAGCCAUGCUUAACAUACAGCUACUCAGUACCAAAGAACUCAGUCGCUACAAUAUAGAGAUAAUUACAAACAAAUGAGUGACAUCAACGAGAUCUAAGUUGUCAUAAAUACAAUUUCAUAUUUUUUUAUGAAUGAAAAAAUAUUUAUCUUUUUUCAAAAAUUCACUUGGAAAUUAUUUUCAUGAUAUAGUACCAUGAUCAUGAUUUUAUCAUACUCUCCAACAACAUCAAUAAGAAAAACCAGCUCAGGGCAGGCCCUGUGGCAUAGUGGUUAAGUCCAGCACACUCUGCUUUGGCAGCCCAGGUUCACAAUUUUGGAUCCUGGGCAUGGACCUACACCACUCGUCAAGCCACACUUUGGUGGUGAUCCACAUACAAAAUAGAUGAAGAUUAGCAAGGUGUUAGCUCAGAGUAAAUUUUCCUCAACGAAAAAAAGAAAAGAAGGCUCUCAAGCUCUGAAGCUUUUCCUAUACUCUGCUCUUCUCCCCCAAGGCCCUAACAUUCCACACACAUUCCAUGGUUGCCAGGAUGCUCUGCUUUAUUCAGCAUUACAUCACCAGAUGCUAGGAACAUAUCUGGAGUAGAGUGGACUUUUGUGUUCAAUCGCGCAAUUGUGAUGAUACAAACGUAGCCUCCUUUAUGUUAAGGAUGGCGAUAGUAGAUGGUCGUCUGAGGCGAUUGAGGCCUGCUCAUCACACUUGAGUGAGCUCGAAAGCUGACCCUUCAGUCCUGGUCAAGCCAGAUGAGAUGACUGCAGAGCUGGGAGACAGCUUGACUGCCGAGACCCUGGGCCAGAAUCACUCAGCUAGGUGGCUCUAGGAUACGGGAACUUCAGAACCUGCACGAGAUAAGAAGUAUAUUAACCUGCUAAAUUUUGAUGAAUUUGUUCACAGCAAUAAAUAACAUACAGCUAGAGACUGAACGAGAACUAUUUUCUUGGCCA